AUGUCUCAGAUAGCCAUGCAUGUCUCAGUAUAAGCUUCUAUACGGCGAAACUGCGAAUGGCUCAUUAAAACAGUUAUAGUUUAUUUGGUGGUCAGCAAUUACAUGGAUAACCGUGGUAAUUCUAGAGCUAAUACAUGCGCCCAAACCCGACUUCGUGGAAGGGUUGUGUUUAUGAGAUACAGAACCAACCCAGGCUCCGCCUGGCCUUGAGGUGAUUCAUAAUAACCGAACGAAUCGCAUGGCUAUGCCGGCGAUAGACCGUUCAAGUUUCUGACCUACCAGCUAUCGUCGGUAGGGUAUUGGCCUACCGUGGCAAUGACGGGUAACGGAGAAUUAGGGUUCGAUUCCGGAGAGGGAGCCUGAGAAACGGCUACCACAUCUAAGGAAGGCAGCAGGCGCGCAAAUUACCCAAUCCUGACGCAGGGAGGUAGUGACAAGAAAUAACAAUACAGGGCAUACAUGUCUUGUAAUUGGAAUGAGUAAACUUUAAAUCACUUUAC
rnacentral:rRNA from 1 species